AUGAACGCUAGCGGCAGGCCUAAUACAUGCAAGUCGGACGGGAUCUGGGAGCUUGCUCCUAAUGAGAGUGGCGCACGGGUGCGUAACACGUAUGUAACCUACCUUGAUCAGGGGGAUAGCCUCUCGAAAGAGAGAUUAAGACCGCAUAACAUUAUGAUCUGGCAUCGUAUUAUAAUCAAAUAUUUAUAGGAUCAAGAUGGGCAUGCGCAACAUUAGCUAGUUGGUGUGGUAACGGCAUACCAAGGCGACGAUGUUUAGGGGAUCUGAGAGGAUGACCCCCCACACUGGUACUGAGACACGGACCAGACUCCUACGGGAGGCAGCAGUAAGGAAUAUUGGUCAAUGGACGGAAGUCUGAACCAGCCAUGCCGCGUGCAGGAAGACGGCCCUACGGGUUGUAAACUGCUUUUGCAGGGGAAUAAACCUUCUUACGUGUAAGAAGUUGAAUGUACCUUGAGAAUAAGGAUCGGCUAACUCCGUGCCAGCAGCCGCGGUAAUACGGAGGAUCCAAGCGUUAUCCGGAUUUAUUGGGUUUAAAGGGUGCGUAGGCGGCUUUUUAAGUCAGGGGUGAAAGACGGUAGCUCAACUAUCGCAGUGCCCUUGAUACUGAAGAGCUUGAAUGUACUUGAGGUAGGCGGAAUGUGACAAGUAGCGGUGAAAUGCAUAGAUAUGUCACAGAACACCAAUUGCGAAGGCAGCUUACUAAAGUAUGAUUGACGCUGAGGCACGAAAGCGUGGGGAUCAAACAGGAUUAGAUACCCUGGUAGUCCACGCCCUAAACGAUGAACACUCGAUGUUGGCGAUAUACGGUCAGCGUCUAAGCGAAAGCGUUAAGUGUUCCACCUGGGGAGUACGCCCGCAAGGGUGAAACUCAAAGGAAUUGACGGGGGCCCGCACAAGCGGAGGAGCAUGUGGUUUAAUUCGAUGAUACGCGAGGAACCUUACCCGGGCUUGAAAGUUAGUGAAUGUGACAGAGACGUCACAGUUCUUCGGAACACGAAACUAGGUGCUGCAUGGCUGUCGUCAGCUCGUGCCGUGAGGUGUUGGGUUAAGUCCCGCAACGAGCGCAACCCCUAUGUUUAGUUGCCAGCAUUUAAGGUGGGGACUCUAAACAGACUGCCUAUGCAAAUAGAGAGGAAGGAGGGGACGACGUCAAGUCAUCAUGGCCCUUACGGUCCGGGCUACACACGUGCUACAAUGGCUGGUACAGAGGGCAGCUACGGUGGCAACCGGAUGGCAAAUCUCAAAAAGCCAUUCACAGUUCGGAUUGGGGUCUGCAACUCGACCCCGUGAAGUUGGAAUCGCUAGUAAUCGCAGUAUCAGCACUGACUGCGGUGAAUACGUUCCCGGGCCUUGUACACACCGCCCGUCACAGCCAUGGAAGUUGGAAGUUACCUGAAGACGUGCGCUAACCGCAAGGAGGCCGUCCGUAGGGUAAAGUCGGUAACUGGGGUG
rnacentral:rRNA from 1 species